rnacentral:rRNA from 1 species
GAUGAACGCUGGCGGCGUGCCUAAUACAUGCAAGUCGAGCGAACAGACGAUGAUCUUGCUCCUCUGACGUUAGCGGCGGACGGGUGAGUAACACGUGGAUAACCUACCUAUAAUACUGGUAUAACUUCGGGAAACCGGAGCUAAUACCGUAUAAUAUAUUGAACCACAUGGUGGAAUAGUGAAAUACGGUUUUUCUGUCACUUAUAGAUGGAUCCGCGCCGCAUUAGCUAGUUGGUAAGGUAACGGCUUACCAAGGCAAGGAUGCGUAUACGAACUCAGAGGGUGAUCGGCCACCCUGGAAGUGAGACAGCGACAAGACUACUAAGAGAGGGCGCAGUAGGGAACCGUACGCAAUGGUCGAAAGUAUGACGGAGCAACGCGGAGUGAGUGAUGAAGGUCCCCGGAUCGUAAAAAUCUGCUAUUAGGGAAGAACCAAUGUGUAAGUAACUAUGCACGUAUUGACGGUAACUAAUAAGAAAGCAACGGCUAACUACGUG